UUCAAGUUUGUAUAAUGUUUUACUCUAAUAAAGUUACCUUUCUAUAAAAUUAAAAUUCUUUGUAACAGUAUGCUUUAAUCCGUGCAAUGAAGUUUCCUCGCAAAAUUUCCUAUAUAAAGAGCUGAUGAACAAGAUGGAUUCCUUGAUAAGUGCUAUCAUAGAUUUCAUAAGUGCUCGCCAAGUGAACAUUGUGGUGGCUGUAAUGCUGACUUUUCUCUAUCUCGUGUACCAAUACAAAGAUGUGCUGGUUAUGAUGAUAGAUCAGCCAUGUAAGAACUCCUUACAAAGGUCUCGCUCAAGAUCUCGUUCCUGCUGCAAACGCAUGUAUCCAUGUGAUAAAAAUUGUUAUAACGGACUUCGGCCAGCUCAUCUGUGCCCGUACUGCACCCACUGCAACAUCGAUAAUAGGGAUUAAAUUGUUCUC